UCCAGCGGUAGUCAGCUCUCCAGUGCUUUCCAUGCCUGUGAUAGUGUUACACUGCUGGGAGAUAAAGGCACUACUUCUUCAUGCAGAAGUCCAUUGUUACCGUUCUGGUGACCUGUGGAACUUCAGCUUCUUGUAGUGUUGUGAAUCCUUGAGAGUGCGUCUUGCAAGCUUUACUUGUUUGGUGCUAGUUUGGGACUUGUACAGU